rnacentral:rRNA from 1 species
AUUGAACGCUAGCGGCAGGCCUAACACAUGCAAGUCGAACGAGUGGCGGACGGGUGAGUAAUGUCUGGGAAACUGCCUGAUGGCGGGGGAUAACUACUGGAAACGGUAGCUAAUACCGCAUACCAUCGGAUGUGCCCAGAUGGGAUUAGCUAGUAGGUGGGGUAAAGGCUCUCCUAGGCGACGAUGCCUAGCUGGUCUGAGAGGAUGACCAGCCACACUGGAACUGAGACACGGUCCAGACUCCUACGGGAGGCAGCAGUGGGGAAUAUUGCACAAUGGGCGAAAGCCUGAUGCAGCCAUGCCGCGUGAAUGAAGAAGGUCUUCGGGUUGUAAAGUACUUUCAGCGGGGAGGCGGUACCCGCCGAGAAAGCACCGGCUAACUACGUGCCAGCAGCCGCGGUAAUUC